UAUUAAACCACUAUUCUGCAGGAGUUGCUGAUGCUGGCAUCAAGUUGUAAGACUGUAUCUUUCUAUGUUAUUAUUCAUUUGAUUUUGGCCAAGAGGUAUCUGAGAUUUUCUGAAGGAUAUAAGCCUUAAGAUGUAACAAAAGUAUUCUUUCCAAAAUGUAAGAGGCACCAUGAAUAAGAAAUUUGAUUUAAAAAAAUCUGUUAAAGCUGUAAAAAGGCAUUUUCUCAUUUUAUAAGUCUACCACAAAACAGGCAUUUUGGGUCCUUAUGGAUGGAAUGCCAAUAAAAAGUUGUUCAGAAGAGUUCUGCUUAACGAUACACAGUGGAGUCAGUAGAGUACUUUUCCAAGAGCUGUGGCAAAACAAAUAAUGUGAUUAAAUCUCCCAAUUUGGAUGAGAUAUUACGAAGAAUAUUCUAACUAUGAGGGCAGUUAAACACUGAAACAGAUUGUCUAGAAAAGUUGUGGAGUCUCUUUCAUCAGAAGUCUGUAUAUUCUUCACUUAAACAACAAUUAUUUGAGAUAGGUUUAAUUCAAGUCAGGACAUCUCUGUUUAUAUGAAGUACUGAGAUCCUUUCCAGUCUGAUUUUUUUUUUCUAUAUUUUUUUCCUGCAUUAAAUCCCAUAAACUUAAAUGCAUGCUGUGUGUGUGUGGGGGGGGGGGGUUAUUUUUUUGUUUUUGUUUUGAUUUCAAUUCAUUACUUAAAAAAUAGCAAACCUUAGCAAAAUUUAAAUGUAAACUUGGGGGAGGUUUUUUGUUUUUGUUUUUUUU